GGCGAAUAUAGCUCAAUGGUAGAGUAUCAGUUUGUGAAUCUGGAUGUUAUGGGUUCAAUUCCCGUUAUUCGCC
rnacentral:tRNA from 1 species